rnacentral:misc_RNA from 1 species
AUGAAAAGGAGAUGUCUUUGAAGGAAUUAGAAUCAAAGCUUCGAAAACUAUAUGAACAAAAGAAGCAGAUAUAUAAAGAUAUUAGUAUAGCACAGGCAUUUGAGAAGAAAACUAACGAGGAAGUCAAAGCACUGAAGCACAAAUUGCGAAAGUCAAUACUAAGGGAAGCUGAAAUAGUGGUAAGUACUUUAAGUGGCUGUG